CUACGGGUUGCACCAGUGAGGAAUAUUGCACAAUGGGGGGAACCCUGAUGCAGCAACGCCGCGUGGAGGAUGACGCAUUUCGGUGUGUAAACUCCUUUUAUAUGUCAAGAAAAUGACGGUAGCAUAUGAAUAAGCACCGGCUAACUCCGUGCCAGCAGCCGCGGUAAUACGGAGGGUGCAAGCGUUACUCGGAAUCACUGGGCGUAAAGGACGCGUAGGCGGGUCGGAAAGUCAGGUGUGAAAUCCUACAGCUUAACCGUAGAACUGCACUUGAAACUUCUAAUCUAGAGUAUGGGAGGGGGAGAUGGAAUUAGUGGUGUAGGGGUAAAAUCCGUAGAUAUCACUAGGAAUACCUAAAGCGAAGGCGAUCUGCUGGAACAUUACUGACGCUAAGGCGUGAAAGCGUGGGGAGCAAACAGGAUUAGAUACCCUAGUAGUC
rnacentral:rRNA from 1 species